AUUGAACACUGGCGGCAUGCCUUACACAUGCAAGUCGAACGGCAGCACGGGAGCAAUCCUGGUGGCGAGUGGCGAACGGGUGAGUAAAGUAUCGGAACGUGCCCAGUCGUGGGGGAUAACGUAGCGAAAGUUACGCUAAUACCGCAUACGAUCUAUGGAUGAAAGCGGGGGAUCGCAAGACCUCGCGCGAUUGGAGCGGCCGAUAUCAGAUUAGGUAGUUGGUGGGGUAAAGGCUAACCAAGCCGACGAUCUGUAGCUGGUCUGAGAGGACGACCAGCCACACUGGGACUGAGACACGGCCCAGGCUCCUACGGGAGGCAGCAGUGGGGAAUUUUGGACAAUGGGCGAAAGCCUGAUCCAGCCAUGCCGCGUGCAGGAUGAAGGCCUUCGGGUUGUAAACUGCUUUUGUACGGAACGAAAAGGUUUGGCCUAAUAAGCUGAGCUCAUGACGGUACCGUAAGAAUAAGCACCGGCUAACUACGUGCCAGCCGCCGCCGUAA
rnacentral:rRNA from 1 species